AAAACAUAAGAGGAUUACCUUUCCUUUGGGGCGGCUGUACAGCAGAUUCCAGGUCCUUGGCAACUAGUAAGAGAGUGUCCAAAGGAAUAAUUCUGUAUUCAGGGCGAGAGAGCACUAAGCCUUUCCUGAUGGCUUCUUUAAAGCCAGCAACAAAGGCAGCAUAUAACAUCUGGGUAUGUGCUUUAUUAUAUACACUGAAUCCGAGAUUGGAGGUUUGAGUCAACAGUGAAUGGUAUUUUUCCACAGAUUCAAGUUUGUCUUGUAUAAUGUCAUUUAUACAAGUGGCUUGGUCAGCUAGUUUAUCCUGGGCCCAGGCCCGAAGCUGUUCACAGAAUGUAAU